rnacentral:miRNA from 1 species
UACCUCAAAAUUCCGCAACAGUCUGUUUUAUAAGUAAAGUAAAGAAUCAUCGGCUGAUGAUUCUUUACUGAUGAGACAGACUGUUGCGGAAUUU